rnacentral:rRNA from 1 species
UACGGAGGGUGCGAGCGUUAUCCGGAUUCACUGGGUUUAAAGGGUGCGUAGGUGGGAAUGUAAGUCAGUGGUGAAAUCUCUGGGCUUAACUCAGAAACUGCCAUUGAUACUAUGUUUCUUGAAUUUUCUGGAGGUCAGCGGAAUAUGUCAUGUAGCGGUGAAAUGCUUAGAUAUGACAUAGAACACCAAUUGCGAAGGCAGCUGGCUACAGGGAUAUUGACACUGAGGCACGAAAAGCGUGGGGGAUCAAACAGG